rnacentral:rRNA from 1 species
UGGGGAAUAUUGCACAAUGGGCGAAAGCCUGAUGCAGCGACGCCGCGUGAGUGAAGAAGUACCUCGGUAUGUAAAGCUCUAUCAGCAGGGACGAUAAUGACGGUACCUGACUAAGAAGCCCCGGCUAACUACGUGCCAGCAGCCGCGGUAAUACGUAGGGGGCAAGCGUUAUCCGGAUUUACUGGGUGUAAAGGGAGCGCAGGUGGCACUGCAAGUCAGAUGUGAAAGCCCGUGGCUUAACCGCGGGAUUGCAUCAGAAACUGCAGUGCUAGAGUGCAGGAGAGGUAAGCGGAAUUCCUAGUGUAGCGGUGAAAUGCGUAGAUAUUAGGAGGAACAUCAGUGGCGAAGGCGGCUUACUGGACUGUAACUGACACUGAGGCUCGAAAGCGUGGGGAGCAAA